CAGCAAAGAACUGUCCAACUGGAGAAAUCGCCAUCCGCAUGACUGGCCUCUCCCAAGGCAGGAGCCUCCGUGGGGCACUCAGGGGGGCUCCCGGCCACGCCUGGGGUCCCUGACAGGAAGGCUCGUAUUGACAGAAGCAGCAGACGGAAUUGCCAGAGCGCCUGCCAGGCAGCUGACUCUGCGUGGGACCAAGGUUCACAGGCUGACGCCAGCCUGCCCUCUGGACCCUCUUGAGGCCCACGCCCCUCUCCCGGCCACAGACUCCCUGGCCGCCCGAGGUGGGAGGUGGACAUUAUUCCCGGGCAGUUCCUUGCCCAGAGCUGCCGGCUCCGAGUGAGAAGCGGGCACUGUGGUCUUGCGUGGACCUGAGGGCUGGCCCCCAAAUCCUAGAAACGGGCUCCUGGGCUGAUGCCAUCCCUGUCUCCCUGCUCCCCACUCUGGAGGGCCGGCCCUGCCCCUGCAGGCCUCCGACUUCCUCUGCUGCUCCCAGCUUACCUGCUGGGCUCAGUCCCUCCAUGCCUGCCUCCCCAGUCAGUGGCCACCUCCUUGGAGAAGUUUUCCUGGGUCCCUCCCCUCUUUUCCAUUCCUGGGUCCCUUCCAGCCCCCGGCACAUAUUCUGGCACCCAGAGAGUGCUCUGGGACGGUGGCAACCACAAAGAGCUAAGA